UACGGAGGGUGCAAGCGUUAUGCGGAAUCACUGGGUUUAAAGGGUGCGUAGGCUGCUGCAUAAGUCAGGGGUGAAAGUUUGCCGCUUAACGAUAGAAUUGUCUUUGAUACUGUGCGGCUUGAAAUUAGGUGAGGUUGGCGGAAUGUGACAUGUAGCGGUGAAAUGCGUAGAUAUGUCAUAGAACACCGAUUGCGAAGGCAGCUGGCGAAGCUAGAUGUGACUCUGAGGCACGAAAGCGUGGGUAGCAAACAGG
rnacentral:rRNA from 1 species